UUGACCUCGGAUCAGGUAGGGAUACCCGCUGAACUUAAGCAUAUCAAUAAGCGGAGGAAAAGAAACCAACCGGGAUUGCCUCAGUAACGGCGAGUGAAGCGGCAAGAGCUCAAAUUUGAAAUCUGGCCCCCUCGGGGUCCGAGUUGUAAUUUGCAGAGGAUGCUUCGGGUGCGGCCCCCGUCUAAGUGCCCUGGAACGGGCCGUCAUAGAGGGUGAGAAUCCCGUCUG
rnacentral:rRNA from 1 species